GGGGAAUAUUGCGCAAUGGGGGAAACCCUGACGCAGCAAUACCGCGUGAGUGAAGAAGGUUUUCGGAUCGUAAAGCUCUGUUAUUGGGGAAGAAAAAAAGACGGUACCCAAGAAGAAAGUCCCGGCUAACUACGUGCCAGCAGCCGCGGUAAUACGUAGGGGACAAGCGUUGUCCGGAUUUACUGGGCGUAAAGGGCACGCAGGCGGUUUUUUAAGUCAGAUGUGAAAGGUACCGGCUCAACCGGUGACAUGCAUUUGAAACUGAAAGACUUGAGUAUUGGAGAGGCAAGUGGAAUUCCUAGUGUAGCGGUGAAAUGCGUAGAGAUCGGGAGGAACAUCAGUGGCGAAGGCGACUGCCUGGGCCAACACUGACACUGAGGCACGAAAGCGUGGGGAGCAAACA
rnacentral:rRNA from 1 species